UACAGAGGGUGCGAGCGUUAAUCGGAUUUACUGGGCGUAAAGCGUACGUAGGCGGCUUUUUAAGUCGGAUGUGAAAUCCCUGAGCUUAACUUAGGAAUUGCAUUCGAUACUGGGAAGCUAGAGUAUGGGAGAGGAUGGUAGAAUUCCAGGUGUAGCGGUGAAAUGCGUAGAGAUCUGGAGGAAUACCGAUGGCGAAGGCAGCCAUCUGGUCUAAUACUGACGCUGAGGUACGAAAGCAUGGGGAGCAAACAGG
rnacentral:rRNA from 1 species